rnacentral:misc_RNA from 1 species
AAAGUCGUAACAAGGUUUCCGUAGGUGAACCUGCGGAAGGAUCAUUAAUGAAAACUUCAGGAGUUGCUGCUGGCCUCUCGAGGCAUUCGUGCACACUCUGUUUUUCAUCCACCCACACCUGUGCACAUUUCUUUUGAGAGAAACGGGAUUCUUCGUGAGUCCUCUUUCUUCCAAAAUUUUCACACACUCUACGAAAUCGUCAGAACGAACUUGUUUUUUGUAAACAAACUUAACAACUUUCAACAACGGAUCUCUUGGCUCUC